GACCUCGAAUCAGGUGGGACUACCCGCUGAACUUAAGCAUAUCAAUAAGCGGAGGAAAAGAAACUAACAAGGAUUCCCCUAGUAACGGCGAGUGAAGCGGGAAAAGCUCAAAUUUAAAAUCUGGCGGUCUUUGGCUGUCCGAGUUGUAAUCUAGAGAAGUGUUUUCUGCGCUGGACUGUAGACAAGUCUCCUGGAACGGAGCGUCAUAGAGGGUGAGAAUCCCGUCCUUGCUACAGAUCCCCAGUGCUCUACGAUGCGCUCUCGACGAGUCGAGUAGUUUGGGAUUGCUGCUCAAAAUGGGAGGUAAAUUCCUUCUAAAGCUAAAUAUUGGCGAGAGACCGAUAGCGAACAAGUACCGUGAGGGAAAGAUGAAAAGCACUUUGGAAAGAGAGUUAAACAGUACGUGAAAUUGUUAAAAGGGAAACGCUUGAAGUCAG
rnacentral:rRNA from 1 species